GUGAUAAAAUGGCGGCUGAAUUUCGAAGUGAAGUAUUCACGGCCAUCACAAUGAGUCCAGUGACUCACGUUACGACCUUAAUAUCGAUUAGUUUGGAGCAUCCACCUAAGUUGAUGUACGUUACGUGCCAACAGUUUUCUAUUAAUAAUGGCUUACGCUCCAUUCAAAAUUUAAGUGAAAUAUAUUACGCACAAUUACCGAAUACUUCUAUUAUUUCUGCAAAUUUGAUAAACUUGAUUUAUUAACAUUAUGUUGUUUCAUAUUAAAAAUACACCAGAGAUGAGAAAAAAAAAAUUAUUCCAAUAAUAGAAAAUUUUGGAUUAAAAAUCUUUGACAAAGAAGAUCUCUAACAAAGAGGAAGAAAAAUAUUUAACGCUAACGCUCCGAAGAUAUUCCGAAGCGUUAAAUAUUUAAAUGCGCUUAUUCCAAGUAAACGAGAGAUAUGUUUACGCUGUAUUAAUUAAAAUACUGUAUAUUUAAUUAAUUAGGAACGUUUACUUCUGCAGAAUGUGAAAGUUUAGAUUAAUAUUUUUCUACUCCCCGAAAGCGGGAGUGGGCCCCAAACGAAACCAUUACAGCUUCUGGUAGACAACUCGAGUUUGAAGUUUUAUCUUCGAGUAACCGAAGAGAAAAAUCCUAGUAUAGAAUGUUGGAAGGAACCGAUUUUAACGUCACACUACAGUCGGAGUCUCACGCUAUACGUCAGCUUCAGGAGACAGGACGGUUCAUUUUAUAGGAGGUAGGAGAGAAAAUUAAAGGAGACGAAACGUCACGUUCAAUCUACUGUUUCGCUCGCACACACCAGAAAAUAUUGCGCUUUUAAUAAAAUAAAUAUAUAUAUUUUUUUCCACCUUUAUAUGCGCAUUUAUAACAAAUAAAGCGAUUAGUAUUAUUCAAAUAGAUGGGUCAACGGAUUUUUCUCUGAUUCAUCCCAUCGAACCGAUUCUAGGAAGAUAACUUCGCCAUUAUGUUUCCAGAUAAACGAUAAAUUUCACCUCUUUUUUUUUUUUUAAAUUUCUUGAGCUCAUUUAAUACUUUUUACCGUGAUCGCAAAGAAUGAAGAGUAUCGUGGAUAGUAAAUCAUAUUUAUGGAAUCUGCAGGAUUAUCAUAUAAUCGAUUUAUCGAGAAAAUUGAAUUACACGCGAGAUGAUCAUAUACAAUCAUACUUAAUCGAGAGAAUGGAAAUUUAUUAAACUUAUCUUUAAUAUAAUAAAUGUUUCGUUGGUUUAAUUGAAGUUAAAAAGAAAAUAAUGUAGUGUAUACGUUUCCGUAAAAGAGGAAAUAUUUAGAUUUCGUUUCGUCUUCGUCAGUCUUCCAUUGAAACGAACAGGAAGAAUAGGGUGAUUGGGGAAAAAAGGAACAACAAGCAGACCGAAACGUUCCUCCGUAACUAAGAAUGAUUUCCUUGUCACGUCGUCAGACGAUGUCAUUAAUGAUCCGUGAGAAAAAAAAGAAAAGGCAAAUCUGAAAAGUCUUGAAUACGAAUAUUUUCCGGUGAAUAAUUUAAGAAGGAAGAUCGUUAAUGGUAUUAAAAUGCUAUCAUUUUAUUGAUGCUGUUACACUUUAAUUGACAUACUGUAUAAAUGCAUUUAAAUCAAG